GCAUAAGCGCAUACAGCCGCAUGGCGCAGUGUGAAAAACUCCGGUGGUAUGGGAUGGAUCCGCGUCUGAUUAGCUAGUUGGCGGGGUAACGGCCCACCAAGGCAGCGAUCAGUAGCCGACCUGAGAGGGUGGCCGGCCACAUUGGGACUGAGACACGGCCCAAACUCCUACGGGAGGCAGCAGUGGGGAAUAUUGCACAAUGGGGGAAACCCUGAUGCAGCAACGCCGCGUGAGUGAAGAAGUAUUUCGGUAUGUAAAGCUCUAUCAGCAGGGAAGAAGAAGGACGGUACCUGACUAAGAAGCCCCGGCUAACUACGUGCCAGCAGCCGCGGUAAUACGUAGGGGGCGAGCGUUAUCCGGAUUUACUGGGUGUAAAGGGAGCGUAGACGGUUUUUCAAGUCUGAAGUGAAAGCCCGCGGCUCAACUGCGGAACGGCUUUGGAAACUGAGGGACUAGAGUGCUGGAGGGGCAGGCGGAAUUCCUGGUGUAGCGGUGAAAUGCGUAGAUAUCAGGAGGAACACCGGUGGCGAAGGCGGCCUGCUGGACAGUAACUGACGUUGAGGCUCGAAAGCGUGGGGAGCAAACAGGAUUAGAUACCCUGGUAGUCCACGCUGUAAACGAUGAAUACUAGGUG
rnacentral:rRNA from 1 species